rnacentral:rRNA from 1 species
GACGAACGCUGGCGGCGCGCCUAAUACAUGCAAGUCGCACGGGCACAUUUCGGUGUGUCAGUGGCGGACGGGUGAGUAACACGUGGGUGAUCUGCCCUUCGGUGGGGAAUAACUCUUGGAAACAGGAGCUAAUACCGCAUAAGCUUACCGCUUCGUUGCUGUAAAGUAAAGAUUCAUUGCCGAAGGAGGAGCCUGCGGCGGAUUAGCUAGUCGGUGGGGUAACGGCUUACCGAGGCAACGAUCCGUAGCUGGUCUGAGAGGACGACCAGCCACACUGGGACUGAGACACGGCCCAGACUCCUACGGGAGGCAGCAGUAAGGAAUAUUCCACAAUGGGCGCAAGCCUGAUGGAGCGACGCCGCGUGAGCGAAGAAGCACUUCGGUGUGUAAAGCUCUUUUAGCAGGGAUGACAAUGACAGUACCUGCUGAAUAACGCCCCGGCUAACUACGUGCCAGCCGCCGCUGUAAC